CCUUGUGCCCAGGGGAAUCCGCCUGUACACAUUUGAACAGAUCCUGUUAUUCAUGAAAGAAACAUACAUUACAGAUGGAUACGGAGCCCGCUUACAAUCCAAACUCUGUCUAAAAAGGUAUGUCAAGAGAAUAGUAUAAGCUCAAUGUAAUGUAGUAUGUUUUUGUAUCGUUUUAUAAUAUUUACCUGGUUGUUGUUGUGUAGCCUGGUCCCAGGUCUGUACUGUCUUGCCAACUCCCACGGUUAUUGUCACGUCAAACAAUGACCAUAGCAGUUAGCAAGACGGCUGUUACGGGAUUUUUGUGUUUAAUGACUAAAAUAUGUAUACAUUUGACUUAGAAUUAUAACUAAACAGAAUACUACUAUAUCACUGUAAGAAUGAAUCUUAUUAUAAUCAUAAAUGUUGAAUGUUAUGUGUUCCUUGUUAGAAAGAAUGGGUUUAUCUUCAGACAGGCUAGAAUGAUGUCUCUACCCAGGGAGGGGAAAGACCUUGGGUUGGUUGUAGAUAGUUUAACAGGUGGCAGACAGUAAUGAGAACUCGAACUGUAUUGCCAUUGUAUCCGAGAGGAGGUUGGACAUUAAAACCUAUGACAUCAUCUUUAUUAUAUAACCUGAUGUAAAAUGUAUUAUGAUCAGUACUCUCGAGAAUAAACGCUAUUGAUUGAUUGACUUUAAGACUGGUUUCUGUCCAUUUAAUGCUGAUAAUUAUCUUACAAAUUCUUAUUUAUGGGCAGAGUGUUUUAAUUGAAUUGGUUGAUAAACAGGAAUUUAAAUUCCUUUAACAACGGCACAAACAGAUAUGGAACGAGGCUCGUUGUUGAGAGUGUGUUGUGUUGGAUGGUUUUCCACCCUUUUAGUAUUUUUAUCCUGUCAAAUGAGACAGUCAACAUGGAGUCAUCUUCUGUGGUUCCUGCUCUUCUUCCUACUGGGGGUUAAUGACAUGUCUACGGUACUGCCAGCUUCAGGAGCCAACAAAGACUACGGCAUAUACUGCAUAGGACGGUUCUGCUUUCAGGUGUGUAUGCUGUGUUCUGUGGGGUACCACCUGUUCUCCUGCCACCUCUCAGAGAAGAAGUGCUGCCACUGGACUACGUUGGAACCUUGGCUGUUACGUUCCAGGGGUCUUGUAUGCCUUCCACUGCGGCGUUGUGUCUUAGACAAUACAUUCCACCAUUUGUUCUAUUUUUCACUCAUACCGUUUGUUUCAGUAAAGAUAACUUUUUAUAACACAUGCAAUCUGACACUAAACAUAUAACUACGCAAACUGGCUCUGAAAUGACAUCUCUUCUCCUCCCGACAUAUCUUUUCCCAUAGCGUAUCUUCUACCCCCCCUCUACUCUAAAGUUCCGGAGACAGGUGUGCCCAGUGAUUGUCAUAGCGUUGAUAUUGGCCGUGUUCUUGGCUUAGAUCCACCCUCACUACCACUCUAAGGAGUGGCGACACCAGCGUACUGCCAUCCUCGGCUCAGUGGUUGGCUACGGGGUCAUCCCAGCCGUCCACUGGGUCUGGCUCAAUGGAAGCUUCAGCUCUGCUGUCGUCCAGAUGAGUCUUCAGAUACCUGAAUUACAAUAUUGGUUGUUCCUGUCUCGUGAUGGUGAUGUACUUGAUAGCUGGAGCCGAGUUCCUCUUUUACAUCGGUAAAAUUUACACUUCUCAUAGCAAAUAACCACUUACAUGUGUCAUUCUGCAACUUGUCUUGCUCAAACUGAUACCUUCAGGCACAACCAGCCCUGCCCCCUUAUCUACACCAGCAGCAGCUAGAGCCUCAGACUGGCCCAGCCAACAACCGAGCAGCCACAGACUCUACUGUAGCCACUCAAUGUAAACCAGACGACAACUGAACCUUUCACGUAAUGUAACAAAAUGUGGAAAAAGUCAAGGGGUCUGAAUACUUUCCGAAUGCACUGUAUAUACUAAAAGGGACAUAAUUUGAAUGUAUCUGUAUUAAGGCAUGUCUCUCUUUUGAUUAUUUUAAAUGAAUAAAGAAUGCCUAACAGAA